CCUACGGGCGGCAGCAGUGAGGAAUAUUGGUCAAUGGACGAGAGUCUGAACCAGCCAAGUAGCGUGAAGGAUGACUGCCCUAUGGAUUGUAAACUUCUUUUAUCUGGGAAUAAAAUGUUCCACGUGUGGGAGUUUGUAUGUACCAUAUGAAUAAGGAUCGGCUAACUCCGUGCCAGCAGCCGCGGUAAUACGGAGGAUCCGAGCGUUCUCCGGAUUUAUUGGGUUUAAAGGGAGCGUAGGUGGAUUGUUAAGUCAGUUGUGAAAGUUUGCGGCUCAACCCUAAAAUUGCAGUUGAAACUGGCAGUCUUGAGUACAGUAGAGGUGGGCGGAAUUCGUGGUGUAGCGGUGAAAUGCUUAGAUAUCACGCAGAACUCCGAUUGCGAAGGCAGCUCACUGGACUGCAACUGACACUGAGGCUCGAAAGUGUGGGUAUCAAACAGGAUUAGAUACCCGAGUAGUC
rnacentral:rRNA from 1 species